UAGGGAAUCUUCGGCAAUGGACGAAAGUCUGACCGAGCAACGCCGCGUGAGUGAAGAAGGUUUUCGGAUCGUAAAACUCUGUUGUUAGAGAAGAACAAGGACGUUAGUAACUGAACGUCCCCUGACGGUAUCUAACCAGAAAGCCACGGCUAACUACGUGCCAGCAGCCGCGGUAAUACGUAGGUGGCAAGCGUUGUCCGGAUUUAUUGGGCGUAAAGCGAGCGCAGGCGGUUUCUUAAGUCUGAUGUGAAAGCCCCCGGCUCAACCGGGGAGGGUCAUUGGAAACUGGGAGACUUGAGUGCAGAAGAGGAGAAUGGAAUUCCAUGUGUAGCGGUGAAAUGCGUAGAUAUAUGGAGGAACACCAGUGGCGAAGGCGGCUCUCUGGUCUGUGACUGACGCUGAGGCUCGAAAGCGUGGGGAGCAAACAGG
rnacentral:rRNA from 1 species